rnacentral:rRNA from 1 species
ACUGAACCCUUUCUUUAUUCCUAACACAUGCAAGUCGAACGGCAGCACAGUAAGAGCUUGCUCUUACGGGUGGCGAGUGGCGGACGGGUGAGGAAUACAUCGGAAUCUACUUUUUCGUGGGGGAUAACGUAGGGAAACUUACGCUAAUACCGCAUACGACCUACGGGUGAAAGCAGGGGAUCUUCGGACCUUGCGCGAUUGAAUGAGCCGAUGUCGGAUUAGCUAGUUGGCGGGGUAAAGGCCCACCAAGGCGACGAUCCGUAGCUGGUCUGAGAGGAUGAUCAGCCACACUGGAACUGAGACACGGUCCAGACUCCUACGGGAGGCAGCAGUGGGGAAUAUUGGACAAUGGGCGCAAGCCUGAUCCAGCCAUACCGCGUGGGUGAAGAAGGCCUUCGGGUUGUAAAGCCCUUUUGUUGGGAAAGAAAAGCAGCAGGUUAAUACCCCGCUGUUCUGACGGUACCCAAAGAAUAAGCACCGGCUAACUUCGUG